UCCGGCGUAGCUCAAUGUAGGAACAGGGCGCUGUUAACGCCAAGGUGCAGGCUCGAUCCCUGCCGCCGGAG
rnacentral:tRNA from 1 species